UUUCUCACUAUUUUCUGAUAUUUUAUAAAUUAUCAGUUAAACAGAAUUUAAACUCUUACAUUACAACUACAGACCUCCAUCUAUUACCUACACCACUUACUCCUCAUUAGGGUCAUAGGGGACUGGAGUCUAUCCCAGCUGACUUAGGGUGAAGACAGGGGACACCCUGAACAGGUCGCUAGUCUAUCACAGGGCUAAACAUAGAGACAAACAAUCACAUUCACACCUACAGACAAUUUAGAGUCACCAAUUAACCUCAGCAUGUUUUUGGACUUUAGGAGAAAGAUAGAGAACCCAGAGAAAACCCACCUUUGUGCUACCUGUUCUGUGACUAUUAUGCAUCACACAUCUCGAUGCUGAUGCCUAAUUGCUAACUACUGUGCAGCGCUAGUUUGUAUUUAGUAUAUUUCAAAAGUGAUUCCAUUUUGAUAUCAAACAUAGAUCUUUAUCACCACUACUCUUUCAGAUUUUUGCAUAUAUGUAAAAACAAAAAAAAUACAAACCAGAUAAAACAUACAAAUGUACAAAGAAAAACAAAAAAAGGCAAAUUAAUUGAAUUUAAAUAAAAUACAAAUGCCAAUACUAAAAAUACACAAUGUACAACCCCUGGCAAAAAUUUUGGAAUCACCAGUCUUGGAGGAUGUUCAUUCAAUUGUUUAAUUUUGUAGAAAAAAAGCAGAUCACAGACCUGCCACAAAACUGAAGUCAUUUAAAAUGGAACAUUAAACAACUGAAAGAACAUCCUCCAAGACUGGUGACUCCAUAAUUUUUGCCAGGGGUUGUACAUAUAAGUCAAUUAUUAAAAGCUGCAGGUAAAUAAUUGAGGAAUUCUCAAUCUAGCAUGUCAUGUCAAUGUAAUUUGUAAAGUUGAUAUUAAUUAUAUGCAUUGUCCGAUAUCCUUAUUCAUGUUAUAUCACCAAACACCCCAAGACAGUAGCCAACAUUUUUGACCUAACAUCCAUUACUCACUUUUUACUUUUGUAUUAAAAUAAGGCAAAAUGUCACAACAUAGGAUCAGCUGCAGUUAGAUAUAGAAAUCCUAAACAAACCUGUGGAUCCAGACUAUAAGCUGCAUUGCUGCCACAAUCUAAUCACUUGGUCCUUGUGUCAUGUCUGAUCUUCCCUGAAAAUUUCAUCCAAAUUCAUUAGUCCAUUAUUGAGUAAUGUUGCGAAUGGACAGACAAACUGAUGGUGAUCGUCACAUAACUCCACCGCCUUCCUUGGCAGAGCAACUAGAAAAGCACUCAGAAAAUGCAGUACUCUGUGUGUGUGUUAGCUCCUGCACUAUGACUGAGGAAUCUGGGAAAAACUUUUUGCACUGUCAACUUUGAGCACCAGCAGUAUGUUUUUGUUAAAUGUUUUUGUUCAACAAGAAACAGCACCAAGAAAUUAAUCAUGAAAAAGUUUGAUGGCAGAACCAUACCCCAUGAAGCCUCUUCUUGUUUCAACAGGAAACGAUAGGAACAAGAAAAGCAGAUGACAGAAAUGGAAAGACGGUGGAAUAAUACACUAAGCAGAUUCUUUGCAAGAGAAACCACCUGUGUUGUUCAAACCUGUGCAUCUCACUCCAUUUCUCUCCUACACAGAGGCAGAUUUGUUUGAGAGGAAAGAAUAAGGAGGGAAUAGGUUGUCCUUCAGUACAUUAAACAGAAACUAAAGUACAGAUAGAUGGAAAAAAAAUGUCCAUGCAGAUAUUUUAUUAAUACAUCCACCCAUCAUCUAUACAACACUUAAUCCUUAUUAGGGUCGUCCAGGGGCUGGAGUCUAUCCCAGCUGAUGUCAUUGUGGUGAUCUGGGAGGAUCCAGACUGAUGGUGGAGAACAGGUGAAGAAUCCAGGUGAUCACACAUCACGCUCAUAUCCACUUGGAGAGAGACAGAAGAAAGGAGGGGGAAGGGAGAAAACCUGCCACAACCUGGUCAGAGUUGGACAGCGUAACAAUCUUGGCUCAGCAGAUCAAGUAUGUGUGUACAGUCAGUGAGGAGUUUAUUAAGAGCAGCCUACUAGUCCUUGGUCAGGCUUUCCUUGUCUGUUAAACAGCCUCAUUUCUUUUUUAUCAUGGACUUGUCUCUGCAGGAUCUUCUGAUGCACAUGAUUGGCUGAUUCAACAUUUGCCUAAAUAAGCAGAUUGCAGGUGUUUUGAUUAAAACUAAUGGUUCUGAUUAAGCCUGAAGAAAAAAAAAACAUGAGUCAUUAGCAACAUUUUAACAUUUAAUAAUACCCCUUGAUAAACGGAAAAAUCCAAAAUUUGCUGAUUUCAACACUUCUAAAAAUAAGCAAUCACAGAAAGAGGAUGUGAGAAAGUCUUGGCCAAUACUCAAAUGAAAGGAUUAAUAAAAAUGAAGAAUUUAAGAACUUUUAGUCCUAUGGAUAGCUUUCAACUUGUGAACUCUGGAACCUUUAACAUAACAGUUAGCGGUAGGGGGCCAAAUACUGUAUUUAAAAAUAUGUCUUUUAGCGCUGUUGUCAGGGGAGAAAAAAGUAUCCAGUCAAAGGCAGAUACUUCUGAGGGGUCCAGAAAUGCUGCUGUCUUGAUGAUGACUAGUUAACCUCAGAGAGGACGAGUGCCAUUUCUCUGCUCUCUGAAUGUCCUCAUUAUGUAACAGUCUUCUACUCUCAAACAUCACCAU
ensembl:lncRNA